rnacentral:rRNA from 1 species
UACGGAGGGUGCGAGCGUUGUCCGGAUUUAUUGGGUUUAAAGGGUGCGUAGGUGGCUUGAUAAGUCAGUGGUGAAAUACAGCCGCUCAACGGUUGAGGUGCCAUUGAUACUGUCAAGCUUGAAAGAAUUGGAGGCUGCCGGAAUGGAUGGUGUAGCGGUGAGAUGCAUAGAUAUCAUCCAGAACACCGAUUGCGAAGGCAGGUGGCUACGAUUUAUUUGACACUGAGGCACGAAAGCAUGGGGAGCAAACAGG